rnacentral:lncRNA from 1 species
UAUUAAGCCUUAAGAGUGUUCUAUUCUACUAUGACAAAGGAGUGUUGACAAUCAUAAAGCUAGCUAUUAAGAGUGUUCUAUUUAACCUUUACAACUGUUCUAUUAUGGCAUAAAACUGUUAUAAAGCCUAAAACUGACAGCACACUUCCAUUAAGCUUUAAGAAUGUUUUAUUAAGUCAUAAGAGGUUAAGAUUGGAAUGCAUACAUGUUCGCAACUGCAAAUCUGAUAAAAGUAUUCUAUUAUGCUCUAAGAGUGUUCUAUUCUACUAUGACAAAAGCGGGUAAGAUUGAAGUCUUAAAACCAUGAUAUAGCAACAUAAUUGGAAGUUCAGAAGAUCUCCCAGAUUUCUCAAUUAAUCAGUAAUGUUGAUCUCCAAAGUAUAGAUUUUUGAACUCCCAUACAUCUCAAUUAAUCAGUCAAUUGAUCUCCGAAGUAUAGAAACAUGAAAAACUCAAAAAUGCACGUGUACGUGAAUUCAAUUCAAAGAGAAACAAUCCACAAUGCUCAUAUUCUUUCUUCUUCUUCUUUUUUUCUUUGCUAAGUUUUGUACAUCCCAAACUGUCAUUCCAAAUGUAUACCACAUAAAUUGGAAACUACCGAUAAAUAUAAAAAAUUUAAGAACGAUAUCUACAAAUCAAGGUUUCAGUAUUCUAUUAUGCUCUAAGAGUGUUCUAUUCUACCCAUACACCCCAUAUUGAGUUGUUCUAUUAUGCUUUACAUUUAUUCUAUUAUGCCAUAAAUCUGUUAUAAAGUCUACAACUGAUAGCAGUGUUAUGUGAAACUUUAAGAAUGUUCUGUUAAGUCAUAAGUGGGUAAGAUUACAAAUGCAUACAUGUUCGCAACUAUAAACCUGAUAAAAAUAUUCUAUUAAGUCCUAGAAGUGUUCUAUUAUGACAAAAGCGUGUUCACAACCAUAAAGCUAAUAAUAGUGUUCUAUUAAGCUGUAAGAGUGUUCUUUAUUGCCAUAAGAGUGUUAGAUUGUCAAGCAUUUAUAUUUGCAAACACAAAUCCUAUAAAAGUAUUCUACUAAGAGUGUUCUUAUAAGUUCUAAGACUAAACCCUUUAUGGCAUAAAAGUGACAGAUUGUAAUGCAUACAUAAUUCUAGCCAACAAUACAUAUAUGAAUACAAACAAAUUAAUUUUCAAUACAAGUAUACACUAAUAUCAUAAAUGCUUUAUUUUUACAAAUGCAACAAAUAAUGUAAUAUACCAGCUGAGUAAUCCCUAAAUAAAAUGAAUCAGCUAGUCGGUGAGCAAAUCCGCAGCACGCAAAGAAGAACCCUACCUGCAACCCUAAACCCUCAAAAUAUAAAUUCUAUAUUAAAUUUAAAAUUAGAAAUAAAAGAUUAUAGAAAUUCAAAAAUAUCCCCUGUUUGAGUAGAAUCCUCUGUUCGGUUGUGGCCGAAUUAGCUCCGGAAUCGUUCCCAAUUUCGGAUGCUCACGACUGAAGGAAUGCGUCACAGGUACUGGGAUGGACAGGGGAGCAGUUGAGAGGCGACCUCCUACCAAUGGAGAAAGGCGAGGCCGAGAGACACCUUCGAGACGGCUUCGGACACGAGAUGUGUGGAACGAGCGCUGCCGAACUUCUGCCCGAUGGAGUGGAGUACCCUGCGAGCGAGAGCGAGAGAAAGAGAAAGGGGAGAGAGCGAGAUGACGAGAGGCGAGGGAGCGAGAGAAAGCGAGGAAGCGAGAGAGAGCGAGAAACAGAAAUAGCGAGAGGAGCUGUGCGGGAGAGAGAAGUGUAGUAGGGUUUAAUUUAAGUUAGCUUUAGCAAGAAGUAAAAAAGGUGUGAGGUUAGAAGCUACUGUGCUAGUGGGUUAAUAUCAGCCAUUGGAUCUGAUAGUUGUAGGAUAUACACCUUUUUAUAGGAGUACAGGUAAACUUUUCCUAUGCUUUAAUAGCAUCUACGAAUUUCUUGUAAACACCCUUCUCUUUAUCAAAAUGACUCUGCAUGCCCAAAAAUAAAUAAAUAUUAAAUAAAUAAAAAUAAAAAUAAANUGCAUACAUAAUUCUAGCCAACAAUACAUAUAUGAAUACAAACAAAUUAAUUUUCAAUACAAGUAUACACUAAUAUCAUAAAUGCUUUAUUUUUACAAAUGCAACAAAUAAUGUAAUAUACCAGCUGAGUAAUCCCUAAAUAAAAUGAAUCAGCUAGUCGGUGAGCAAAUCCGCAGCACGCAAAGAAGAACCCUACCUGCAACCCUAAACCCUCAAAAUAUAAAUUCUAUAUUAAAUUUAAAAUUAGAAAUAAAAGAUUAUAGAAAUUCAAAAAUAUCCCCUGUUUGAGUAGAAUCCUCUGUUCGGUUGUGGCCGAAUUAGCUCCGGAAUCGUUCCCAAUUUCGGAUGCUCACGACUGAAGGAAUGCGUCACAGGUACUGGGAUGGACAGGGAAGCAAUUGAGAGGCGACCUCCUACCAAUGGAGAAAGGCGAGGCCGAGAGACACCUUCGAGACGACUUCGGACACCAGAUGUGUGGAACGAGCGCUGCCGAACUUCUGCCCGAUGGAGUGGAGUGCCCUGCGAGCGAGAGCGAGAGAAAGAGAAAGGGGAAAGCGCGAGAUGACGAGAGAGGUGACGAGAGAGGCGCGAGAUCAAGAGAGAGGCGAGGGAGCGAGCGGGACCGAGAGAGCGAGCGGGACCGAGAAGGAGGUGUAGGGGAGAGAGAGAGAAAGAGAUGUGUAGUAGGGUUUAGCUUUAGGAAGAAAAAAUAAAAAAGGGAGUGAAGUUAGCUGCUACUGUGCUAGUGAUCUAAUAAUAGCCGUUGGAUCAUACGGGUGUAGGAUAUACACUUUCUUAUAGGAGUACAGGUAGACUUUUCCAACUAAGAAAGGGAUAAAAAUGCACAAUGCCCCCUCAAAUAUAGAACGUUUUGAACUAAGCCCCUCCUUAUGACUUUAAUUUAAAAUCUAAAUUAGCAUUCAAAAUCUAAAAUUUAAAAUUUUAAUUUUAAUUAAAAUUAAAAUUUGAUUUUAAAUGUAAAUUUAGAGUUGAAACUCGAAUUCAAAUUUUAAAAUUUGAGUUUAUAAUUUGAAAUCGAAAUCUAAAUAUAAAUUUAAAAUUUGAAUUUAAAAUCUAAGUUUAAAUUUAAAAUUAAAUCCAAAUUUGAAAUUAAAUUCAAAAUAUAAAUUUGAAUGUCAAAUUUGGCAUUUUGACUUUAAAAUCUAAAUUUCAUUUCGAACUAAAAUCGAAAUUCAGUCCAAAUUUGAAUUUGAACUGAAAUUUCGUUUCCAAUGUAAAUUUGGAUUUGACAUUCGAAUUAAAAUUUAAAUUUUAAAAUAAAAAUUUAAAAUCAAACUUAAAAUUCGAGUCCAAAAUCUAAAUUUGAAUUUAAAACUAAAUUUAAUUUUGAAAUUUGAAAUUUAAAUUCAAAAUCAGUAUUUUAAUUUGAAAUUCGUAUUAAAAAACUCUAAAUUUGAUUCAAAAUUUAAUCAUAAACUAAAAUUUAGAUUCAAAAUUUGCAUCUUAAAUUAAAUUUAGGUUUAACUAUGAAAAAUCUCAUGCACUUUAGUUUGGAUAAAAUUUCGAUGGAAUGACUUUUUUGAGACACGGGCAAAGUAUAGCGUGCAGAUUGUUUACGUUUUUGGGAAGGGGUAAAGUUGAGUGGGAGCUUUUCAUAAUUAAGCAUUUUUUUUUUUGAAAAAAAAGUUAUUUACGUAUUGGCUUAAAUUAAAAAAUUUAUAAAUUCUCAAACAUAAUUUCUAAGCGAGAGAAAUUUAGAGUAAAGAGUAAAAUGUCUAAGACAUUCAUCUCCCUCUCCCUCUCCCUCUCCCUCUAACUCUCUUGGUCAAAUUGAGAUUUUAUUUUAAUUUAUAAUUCAGUGUAAUCAAAAGUGAUCCAAACAUAUAAAAUACAUGAAUUUUUCUCUUUAAUAAUAUUAUCUUGCACGAGCUUUUUUAUAUUGGGGAAAAAAACUGAAUUAAAUGCUAAAAUUUUCAAACAAGGUCUUUUAUGUCACGAACUAGUGAUUUUGUUCACAAAACCGAUGCGACGCCCGACUCUCUCUGCAAAGAUGGUCAAGCCUUACUCCUUGUUUGCUCGUCAGCACCUCUGCGUCUUAGACUAAGUGCAAAAAGAGAUAAAAGAGAGAGAGAUAGAGGUUCCCCAAAAAAUUAAAUACUCUAUUAUUUAGAAAAACUGAUUACAACAAAACUCUCUCUUGGCCUCAACAAACCCUCCUACUUAUAAGCUCUAAGGUGCAUUAAAUUUGCUCACUAGAUGCAAAAAAAAACUCCCUACAUAAAUGCAAGGUAAACCCAAAGGUUGCCCAUGGUCUUUGGAUUUUCGCUGGGCAGUUUUGAAGGCUUUAAUUCUAGCAGUUGUAUGACCCUUCGUCUCCCACAAAAGUUGUUGGUUUGUACCCCUUUCGCUACCUUGUUUAGCAAAGUUGGCCCAGAGACUUGGGCUAGAUUGAAAUUUUUCUAAGUCCUUGACAAUCUCCUCCACCUAAUGCGCAAAUGCCAUCAUCGUGCGCCAAGUCAAUCACGGUUCGUGCAGCUUUGCUUGCAGUCCGUCGUGCCUACAUGCCUGCGCAGCCUCGAGCCUUGUUACCGCAGUCCACUUUUGCUUUCGCACCAGCUCUGCCUUGCCCCUCUGAGCAUGAACACCAACUAGCUUGCUACACAAAGAAUUUUGUUGUUGAGCCCGAACCGUCGAGUGUGCUUGUCCUCCGCGACACGCACGCACAAACCGCCGAGCUACGGGACACUCUCGAGUCCCCUUUGGCUUCUUCUUGGCUUUGUGCUUGGUAGAGCAACACACCCCUCGAUUGGGUACCAAUUGCUCUAGCACCUCUUGAGACUUGACAGUUUCGCCCUUGUUUGAGUCCUCCUCCUCGAGGUCCUUAUCCCUCCCGUACUUCACCUUCUCGCAAAGUUGUAGGGUUGUAAGGGUUUGGUCCUUCGUCGACUCCCCCUAACACAUAGGAACGAUACAAGGUGUUGACUCAUCUAUGAAGCUCAACGCCCAUAAGUGUGGCAUCGGCACCACCUUUGACGAGGCUAAGAAGUCCAUCCCUAUUACUGCAAAGUAGUCGGGUGGCCCAACGGUAAGAUUGGUCGUGCCCUUCCACGGGUUGAUGGCUAUCUCCACGCCUUUUGCAACUCCUGCGAUAGGUCGCGCCUCAAAGAUGCCGGCCUUGAUGUAACUCGCAUCUUUCUCGAGCUUGAGGUCCAACCACUUUGUGAGACCCUAGAUAGUCAUGUAUAAAAGAUAUAAUAGGGCUAGAACUUUUAACCAUGCUAUAGCAUUUUGGGCGGUGACUAGGCUUAAGAGGUUAAGAGAGUUAAAUGUGCUAAGACUGGAGUAGUCCUAGGAUGGAUGACCCCCUGGAAAGUUGGGGCGUGACAGUUGGUAUCAGAGCCAAUUUGUCACGCCCCGAGCUCCACCAAUUUGGUCGAAUUCGAGCACAUAACAGACGCCGAACGAACAGUACCUCCCCUGUCCGCCCAAGGCUCCAACAAUAAGUAUAUUACAAGCAAAUCAUUAAAGAAAAUUGCGAGAUAUAUAAGGUUUGCACGAGGGCAAACAACAACCACAAGUGAAAGCAUCGAACUAUCUAAGCAUCCAAUAUACAAGUCAUUUGAUUUCAUUUGAAUCAAACACAAGUGGUCUAUUACAUUCAUUUACCCAUUCAUUUACAUCACGUUUUCCUUUAACCAAAAUACAUUGUUUACAUCAUUCCUACAAAACCCACAACAUAAUUUGCAUUUCUUGCUUUACAUCAUUUACAGUUCAACACGUACAGUUGAGAACACCAAAAUGUAGGGUAUGCCUAUAUCUCGAGGGCCGCUAGCUACUGCGCAACACCCUUGCCUUGAUUCUCCGCCGCCCCGCUCGCGCACGGAUCUGCAGGGUUAGUGGUAAUGAGAACUAAAACGAAGUUCCCAGUGGGUUCGGCCGCCGACCACGCCGAUUCGCCCACUAGGUCUAAUUCAGGCAUAUGUAUUUCAAUAAAGAAGGAUAACAAACCAACUAAUGCACUUCUAAUACAAUGCCUGCAAGAAAGUAAUCCACAGAGAGAUAUUCAUAUUCAAAUACAUGAUGAUUAUGCAUGCAUGUCCUUUUCACUUUCCUUUGGCCUUUACCCAAUCAACCCGGGGUGCUCCUGAUUUACUCCAAACUCACAGUCCACAUAUCCCGUCUAACGGGGGAGGCACAAGGCUCAACCGCCCGAGGGAUCUUCGCCGGGCACUCUCACCCGUGGUGUUUACACUCCGGAGCACACCACUUGUGGAGGCGCAACCUCCCACAAACUGGAACCAAUACGUGUGAGUAUGAUCCCAUCCUAAAUUUGAGGAGGUAUAUAGCCAAACCUGUCUCAUGCCUCAAUAUCUCAAUGCGAAUGAUAGGUUCUACCAUAUCAUAUAUACCACCAAUAUGGGCCCCAACGGUCUUGAUGCCAUAAUACACAUAAUAUCACUCAGGUUAAACCUUAUUUAACUAUUCUCAUAUCAAUGCCAAUCGAGUCACUAUAGUCAAUGUCACCGUUAUUUACUAUGGUCAUAGUCUUUCUCACAUUCACAUGCAUAUAGGGUUAUUCAUUUUCUUUGUUCACAGGGUUCUACAUCACUCACAAUAAUCUUAAGCAGAUAAUUGAUACAAUCAAUAUAUACCAUUCAUUACCCUACAUGCAAGAAUGCUAUAAUACCAACAUACUCAAAAGAAGUGACAUAGACAUAGAAAGAGACUCAGUAAUUUCAGAUAGCACCCCCCACCUUUGUGUGAUGCUAGGAUGUCGUGGUUCUGUUUCACAAUUUUUAGACACUUUCGCCGCAGGAUGCGGCAAUCUGUACCAUCUCGGCUUCUUUUUCCAAUAUCUUCGCGCACGCUCAUCGUAUCGUCGAACCGAGCGCACUGAUGCGUUUGUUGACCUACUACUUAGGUUAGAAUGAGAUCAAUCACAAGCUUCGACCUCAUUUUACAAAACCCCAAAUUUGAGUCCCUAUACAAUAUCAUCUUCUUCAUUUUAGGUCCUCAACAUAAAGAAAAUGGAGAAAAUCCACCAUAGAAAUCUCUAGAAGCUUCAACUAGAAGCAAAAACCCAAAACCUAACUUAAAAUCACAAGAACUCACUUUUGGAGUCCAAAGCUUUCCUUCAAAGCCUUGCUCUAGCUUGCUCUACACCUUGGAGAGCUUCUUCUCCAAGCUUGCUCCUCCAAAAGCCCUCCUAGGUCUAAGCCCUAGAGAGUGAGAGGGAGAGAGGAGAAGAGUUUUAGAGAGAGAGAGAGAGGGAAAGGCUUGUGUUGUGAGGGUGAGAAAUGAGCCCUAACACAAGCUCUCUCACAUACAUACACCUCUCUCAUGUCACUUUUGCACAUAAGCCCCUCACAUUUUCACUUUUGCAAACAACCCUCACUGGGCAAUUCCCGCAGUCGGGGACCGGUCUCUCAAGCAAGGGACCGGUUCCCGAGAGCUACCCCGCAGCCAUCGCAGAAGGGGACCGGUCUCCCCCCGACGCAACCGGUCUCUCGGGACCGGUCUCUCACACACAGACCGGUUCCCGAGAGCUCGAUUUUCAGGACUUAGCCGAUUUUUCUCUCUGCUCGGCUGAGAUCGGUCCCCGAGAGCCAAAAUUCUGGGACUUUACCAGAAUUGCAGUUUCACUCUCUCGGGUUUCUUUAUACUACACAUAAGGCUCAAAUACACUUUUAGCCUAUAGUAACUCAUUCCUUUCCGCGUUCCGCACAUUUCGACGGAACUCGGCACGACUCACGGGGAAUUGCCAUGUUACACAAUUACCAGCCGGAAGUGUGAGAUGAGCCUCGGCUGAGCUAGGGUUGGAAUGACAAGACUAGCGAGACGAGUCUUAUAUCGUCUGGUACUUAUAAAUCUGA